rnacentral:rRNA from 1 species
UUUGGGCUAUGGCCGAAAGGCUGACCCAGCGACGCCGCGUGUGGGAGGAAGCCCUUCGGGGUGUAAACCACUGUCGGGAGGGACGAACGAGGGAAGCGGGAAUACCGCUUCUCUGUGACGGUACCUUCAACGGAAGCGCCGGCUAACUCUGUGCCAGCAGCCGCGGUAAGACAGAGGGCGCGAGCGUUGUUCGGAAUUACUGGGCGUAAAGCGCGUGCAGGCGGAUCUGCAAGUCCGUAAGUGAAAUCCCGCCGCUCAACGGCGGGGCUGCUUGGGAAACGGCAGGUCUGGGGACCGGUAGAGGUCGGUAGAAUUCCCGGUGUAGCGGUGGAAUGCGUAGAGAUCGGGAAGAAUACCCGUGGCGAAGGCGGCCGACUGGGCCGGAUCCGACGCUAAUACGCGAAAGCGUGGGGAGCAAAC